GCGGGAGUAGUUCAAUUGGUUAGAGCACUGCCCUGUCACGGCAGAAGUUGCGGGUUCGAGUCCCGUCUCCCGCG
rnacentral:tRNA from 1 species